GACGAACGCUGGCGGCGUGCUUAACACAUGCAAGUCGAACGGAAGGGCCAUGAUCUUGCGGGGUGCUCGUGUGGCGAACGGGUGUGAAACACGUGAGUAAACUGCCCUUGACUUUGGGAUAACUUCAGGAAAAUGGGGCUAAUACCGGAGAGGAGAUCCUGCAGCAUGGUGGGGGAUGGAAAGUUUCGGCGGUUGUGGAUGGACUCGCGGCUUAUCAGCUGGUUGGUGGGGUAGUGGCUUACCAAGGGUUUGACGGGUAGCCGGCAUGGGAGGUUGACCGGCCACAUUGGGACUGAGAGACGCCGCAGACUCCUACGUGAGGCAGCGGUGGGGAAUAUUGCACAGUGGGCCGAAGCCUGAUACGACAACGCCGCGUUCGUGAUGACGGCCUUCUGGUUGUAAACCGCUUUCGCCUGUGACGAAGCGUGAAUGACGGUACUGGGUAAAGAAGCACCGGCUAACUACGUG
rnacentral:rRNA from 1 species